rnacentral:rRNA from 1 species
AUGGUUGAGGGAUCCGUGAUGGAUAUCAUGAACCUCAAGUUCAUCCUCUUAUGCUUCCAGCAUCUGUCAGGUCUCAAGAUUAACUUCGACAAGAGCCAGGUGAUGGUGUUAGGCUACUCUCCUGAGGAGAGUCAGAGUAUUGACAACCGGCUUAACUGCCCAUUGGGUUCUUUCCCCAUUACCUACUUGGGGAUCCCCAUUAGCGACUCCGGCCUGACGGUUAUUGAUUUGAGGCCUUCGGUGCUCAAACUUCAACACCGCAUCGAACCAUGGCAUGGUAGAUGGAUCUCAAAGGCGGCUCAGACUAUUCUCACUAACUCCAACCUAUCCAGCCUCCUGUUGUUCAUUAUGAGCUUUUACAGCCUGCCCGAGACUUUGCACCACGAGAUUGGCACGAUCCAAUCUCGCUUUUUCUGGAUGGGCGAGGGAGACAAGCAAAAAUAUCACAUGGUCUGAUGGUCCAAGAUUUGCAAGCCUCAUGACCAAGGUGGCCUUGGGAUUAUGUCCUCCAAACGCAUGAACAUCGCCCUUCUUGCUUGAUGGCUUUGGCGGAUCUCCAGUGGUGAGGGUGGUCUUUGGCUG